rnacentral:rRNA from 1 species
AAGGGAAUAACUUAGUGGCGGACGGGUGAGUAACGCGUGGGUAACCUGCCGUAUACAGGGGGAUAACACUUAGAAAUAGGUGCUAAAACCGCAUAAGCGCACAGUACCGCAUGGUACCGUGUGAAAAACUCCGGUGGUAUACGAUGGACCCGCGUCUGAUUAGCCAGUUGGCAGGGUAACGGCCUACCAAAGCGACGAUCAGUAGCCGGCCUGAGAGGGUGGACGGCCACAUUGGGACUGAGACACGGCCCAAACUCCUACGGAAGGCAGCAG